UGGGGAUAACACGAGGAAAUUGUGCUUGCAUGUGUGGGAAUGACUGAGAUCUGGUGCUGGCAAGCCACACCGAUCUGCGAGAGUGUGGGCAUUAGCACGGCAAGCCGGCUAAUGUCAGAAUGGGAGACACGUGAAGAAGGACAGGUCAGAGGCUCAGGUCAGCAGGGCAACAGGUCACAACAGAGCUAGAAGGAUCAAGGAGGAUCUGGAUGGAACUGGAUGAAUCAGGGCAAACCAGAUGGGUCAAGCCAAGGAGGGCAACACAAUGGGAACUAGGAGGGGGUGUUUACAGAGUGACAUGUGCUUGGAGCAUGGACAGAGGGCAUGGCAAAACAACACGUGGGCUAUGGAGGAUGUCUUAGGGAGUGACCGGGUGUGACGUUACAGGAAACAUCACCUUGUAUGGGACUGCACUGCUGUAAUUGGCUAGAAGUUACACUGUCGUUGUAAUGAUUAACUGUCAUCCUGAGCUUUCAAUAAAAGGAAGCCCUCGAGCUCUGCUCUUGGUCGCCUUCCCAUUGAGUUCAACCUGCCUCGAGUUGUGCCGUCUUUGCCCCAGACAACAUCUGGUGACCCCGACGUGAUGCGAUUCACCCCAUGCUCAUAAGAGACUGGACAAGUCUAGGUACCUCAGCGCAGCGCGCUCCCCGUAAACCUAUCUGGCAUCUGGCUCGAAGUGUGAGACUGUGGAGAGAUGGCUUGGUGGAAAGGGAUUCAGCUUCAGUGCCAGAGACAGCAGAACCCAGUGCCCAAUCCGGUGCCCAGCAUUCUGGACUAGUCUAACUCAUUGCCGGACUUAGCAAAGCUUCAGAUACAGGAUCCACAGAGGGACCGUGAUCGUGUUCGCUUGCUUUUGGCUGCAUUCUCAUGCCUCACUAUCAACUCCGCAAGAGUGUGUGAACAUGAGCAUACCAAGUCGCAGUAAAGGACAAAGACUGACCACAAGUUUAAAGUUUAAAAUUUCCCCUACGUUGAGGGGUGCAGUUUAUCUUUCUUGAAGGAACGAACUUAAGCUGUUAUACCCUCGCAUUCCGAGAGACUGACUACUUUUGCUAUUUUCAUGGACAUUGUUGCAAGGUUUCAUUUGUGUUAUUUAUACAAGAGUUUAUGCAAAGUUUUAUAAUAUUUGUUAUAAGGUUUAUAAGGUAUUAUUUAAAAGGAAAGAGUUUCAGGAGUUGACAGGUUAACCCGUACAAGCGGUGACAGCUGACAGUUGCCUCUGUUCCAAGAUUGUUUUGCACAUGUCAAAGGUUUACAGACCCCUCACUCACUCACUCAUCUAUUUCAUAUUUCAGACUCAUAUUUAAAAAACAAAAAAAGGGGAGAUGUGGGGAUAACACGAGGAAAUUGUGCUUGCAUGUGUGGGAAUGACUGAGAUCUGGUGCUGGCAAGCCACACCGAUCUGCGAGAGUGUGGGCAUUAGCACGGCAAGCCGGCUAAUGUCAGAAUGGGAGACACGUGAAGAAGGACAGGUCAGAGGCUCAGGUCAGCAGGGCAACAGGUCACAACAGAGCUAGAAGGAUCAAGGAGGAUCUGGAUGGAACUGGAUGAAUCAGGGCAAACCAGAUGGGUCAAGCCAAGGAGGGCAACACAAUGGGAACUAGGAGGGGGUGUUUACAGAGUGACAUGUGCUUGGAGCAUGGACAGAGGGCAUGGCAAAACAACACGUGGGCUAUGGAGGAUGUCUUAGGGAGUGACCGGGUGUGACGUUACAGGAAACAUCACCUUGUAUGGGACUGCACUGCUGUAAUUGGCUAGAAGUUACACUGUCGUUGUAAUGAUUAACUGUCAUCCUGAGCUUUCAAUAAAAGGAAGCCCUCGAGCUCUGCUCUUGGUCGCCUUCCCAUUGAGUUCAA